rnacentral:rRNA from 1 species
UGAGCCGGCCACACCACCCUGAACGUACCCGAUCUCGUCGUCGAUCUCGGGAAGCUAAGCAGGGUCGACCUGGUUAGUACUUGGAAGGGAACCAUCUUUU